GACGAACGCUGGCGGCGUGCUUAACACAUGCCAGUCGAACGGAAAGGCCCUGCUUUUGUGGGGUGCUCGAGUGGCGAACGGGUGAGUAACACGUGAGUAACCUGCCCUUGACUUUGGGAUAACUUCAGGAAACUGGGGCUAAUACCGGAUAGGAGCUCCUGCUGCAUGGUGGGGGUUGGAAAGUUUCGGCGGUUGGGGAUGGACUCGCGGCUUAUCAGCUUGUUGGUGGGGUAGUGGCUUACCAAGGCUUUGACGGGUAGCCGGCCUGAGAGGUUGACCGGCCACAUCGGGACUGAGAUACGGCCCAGACUCCUACGGGAGGCAGCAGUGGGGAAUAUUGCACAAUGGGCGGAAGCCUGAUGCAGCAACGCCGCGUGCGGGAUGACGGCCUUCGGGUUGUAAACCGCUUUCGCCUGUGACGAAGCGUGAGUGACGGUAAUGGGUAAAGAAGCACCGGCUAACUACGUG
rnacentral:rRNA from 1 species